AUUGAACGCUGGCGGCAGGCCUAACACAUGCAAGUCGAGCGGAUGAGUGGAGCUUGCUCCAUGAUUCAGCGGCGGACGGGUGAGUAAUGCCUAGGAAUCUGCCUGGUAGUGGGGGACAACGUUUCGAAAGGAACGCUAAUACCGCAUACGUCCUACGGGAGAAAGUGGGGGAUCUUCGGACCUCACGCUAUCAGAUGAGCCUAGGUCGGAUUAGCUAGUUGGUGAGGUAAAGGCUCACCAAGGCGACGAUCCGUAACUGGUCUGAGAGGAUGAGCAGUCACACUGGAACUGAGACACGGGCACGACUCCUACGGGAGGCAGCAGUGGGGAAUAUUGGACAAUGGGCGAAAGCCUGACACAGCCAUGCAGCGUGUGUGAAGAAGGUCUUCGGAUUGUAAAGCACUUUAAGUUGGGAGGAAGGGCAGUAAGUUAAUACCUUGCUGUUUUGACGUUACCAACAGAAUAAGCACCGGCUAACUUCGUGCCAGCCGCCGCUGUAAUAC
rnacentral:rRNA from 1 species